CCAGAUGCCCGUUGUAGUUGCGAUUACUCGAUAAUUUAAUUUCAUGCCAUUGAAGAAAAAAAUUAUCUAUAGUGUACCUAUCAGCAAUACAUUAUCUUAACUCCUCGACACAAGUCCCUCUUGAAAAAAGAGACUUAAAUGUAUCUAAGUGAUCGAAUUAUACGUCUAAAUAUUUCAAUCAAAUUAUGAUUCGUAUUUAUUCGUUAUAACGAUAACUCAUAGCAUUAUCAUUAAAUCAACGAAUUAUACACAAAUAUAAAAUGAAAUACCUCUGUAAUAAUUAUUAUA